CAACUGUCAGAAAAUCCCUGAUCUCCAUCGCUGUCAAAUAAUCAGGGAACGCGUUUGAAAGAAAAAUGAGAGCCAAUGCCGGAGUCUCUUUGUGCUCUUUUUGGUAACAGUUCGCUGCUUAGUGAUUCUGUAAUUUUAUUUUAAAACUCUUUCUAUAGCCUAAAUUGUGUCUGUUUUAUAUGACUAAGCCACACAUACAGAUAUAUACACAUACAUUUUUUUAUACAAAUGUUUAGAAAUUGGACUGAAAUGCUAUAACUUAGCUAAUGAUAAGUAUAUUUCUCUACAACGAAAAGUAAAGUGGAAAAUUCUCCGGCUCGAGUCGGCAGAGAAGAUGCGUGUCUCUGCGAAUUUUAUGAGGAAUGGCAAUGAGCAAUAAAAGUUUUCACGUUUGAACUGAGGCGAAUUGCAUUGAUUUUUCAACUUAUAGUUUAGUGUAACGUUUCGUGGCUGUUGCAAAUAUGUGCAUUUGAUKAAAAAUUUCACAACGUCAGGAAUAUUGUGAUUUACUGUGAAUCUUCAAGCAUAAAGAUAAUCGAAAAAUUCAUGAUAUGAACUAUAASUUUGUUAUUUUUUUAAAGUCGGGUGUUUCCGUGAAUUAUUGUGAGAAACUGAAUAAUUUUAAAUUGAUAUUUAGUAACCGUAAAAAGAAUUUCCUUCUGUAUCAAAUGUUUUGACGAAGGAUGCGUACAAGAUAUAAUCUAGAAGCUGGAUGUCAUUGAGACUCGUGUCACUGCCGUCGAAAAUUCCCUAACAGACAAAAUGCCAGAAAAGGCCGAGGUGUAGGCACAAAGUAAAUUAUUGCGUGAAUGCCGGGUCAAAGCGAUUUUCUGACGAUUUAAUGUAUCACUACAACUUAGAGGGGCGCAAGGAAAAGGAAUCCCUACUAAAGCUAAAGUGCGUAGGGUUAGUUUUUGGAAGGCUUUUAUACUGGUAUUAUUUGAAUGCCUUAACUUAUAACGGAGCUUCGAAGAAUUGUGGCCUUAAGCCACAAUCGUUUUAAACAGAAAAAACAUAAACUUAAGGCAAAAUUAAUAUACGUUUUCUUAUUAUUAUUUAUAUAUAUUAGUUUUAAGUUGUAAAUAUUAGUUUAAAGGUGUACAUAUUAGUUUUAAGUUGUAAAUAUUAGUUCGAAGUUGUACAUAUUAG